rnacentral:tRNA from 1 species
UCUCUGAUAGUAUAUCGGUUAGUACACGCGCCUGUCAUGUCUCUUCGGAAUCUUGCGCGCGAAAGCUGGGUUCGACUCCCAGUCAGAGAG